rnacentral:rRNA from 1 species
GAUGAACGCUGGCGGCGUGCCUAAUACAUGCAAGUAGAACGCUGAAGGAAGGAGCUUACUCUUUCCGGAUGAGUUGCGAACGGGUGAGUAACGCGUAGGUAACCUGCCUGGUAGCGGGGGAUAACUAUUGGAAACGAUAGCUAAUACCGCAUAACAGUAGAUGUUGCAUGAUAUCUACUUAAAAGGUGCAAUUGCACCACUACCAGAUGGACCUGCGUUGUAUUAGCUAGUUGGUGAGGUAACGGCUCACCAAGGCGACGAUACAUAGCCGACCUGAGAGGGUGAUCGGCCACACUGGGACUGAGACACGGCCCAGACUCCUACGGGAGGCAGCAGUAGGGAAUCUUCGGCAAUGGACGGAAGUCUGACCGAGCAACGCCGCGCGAGUGAAGAAGGUUUUCGGAUCGUAAAGCUCUGUUGUAAGAGAAGAACGAGUGUGAGAGUGGAAAGUUCACACUGUGACGGUAUCUUACCAGAAAGGGACGGCUAACUACGUG